GACGAACGCUGGCGGCGUGCUUAACACAUGCAAGUCGAACGGAAAGGCCCCUUUGGGGGUUCUCGAGUGGCGAACGGGUGAGUAACACGUGAGUAACCUGCCCUUGACUUCGGGAUAACUUCAGGAAACUGGGGCUAAUACCGGAUAGGAAUCCUUGCUGCAUGGUGGGGGUUGGAAAGCUUCGGCGGUUUUGGAUGGACUCGCGGCUUAUCAGCUUGUUGGUGGGGUAGUGGCUUACCAAGGCGUUGACGGGUAGCCGGCCUGAGAGGGCGACCGGCCACAUUGAGACUGAGGGACGGCCCAGGCGCCUACGGGAGGAAGAAGUGGGGAAUAUUGCACAAGGGGCGGAGGCCUGAUGCAGCAAGGCCGCGGGCGGGAUGACGGCCUUCGGGUUGUAAACCGCGUUCAGCAGGGGCGAAGCUUGUGGUGACGGUACCUUCAGAAGAAGCACCGGCUAACUACGUG
rnacentral:rRNA from 1 species